UACAGAGGUCUCAAGCGUUGUUCGGAUUCAUUGGGCAUAAAGGGUGCGUAGGUGGCAGGGUAAGUCGGAUGUGAAAUCCCGGGGCUCAACCUCGGAACUGCAUUCGAUACUGCUUUGCUUGAGUACUGGAGAGGAGAUUGGAAUUUACGGUGUAGCAGUGAAAUGCGUAGAUAUCGUAAGGAAGACCAGUGGCGAAGGCGGAUCUCUGGACAGUUACUGACACUGAGGCACGAAGGCCAGGGGAGCAAACGGG
rnacentral:rRNA from 1 species